rnacentral:rRNA from 1 species
UCCUACGGGAGGCAGCAGUGAGGAAUAUUGGUCAAUGGACGCAAGUCUGAACCAGCCAUGCCGCGUGCAGGAUGACGGCUCUAUGAGUUGUAAACUGCUUUUGUACGAGGGUAAACGCAGAUACGUGUAUCUGUCUGAAAGUAUCGUACGAAUAAGGAUCGGCUAACUCCGUGCCAGCAGCCGCGGUAAUACGGAGGAUUCAAGCGUUAUCCGGAUUUAUUGGGUUUAAAGGGUGCGUAGGCGGUUUGAUAAGUUAGAGGUGAAAUUUCGGGGCUCAACCCUGAACGUGCCUCUAAUACUGUUGAGCUAGAGAGUAGUUGCGGUAGGCGGAAUGUAUGGUGUAGCGGUGAAAUGCUUAGAGAUCAUACAGAACACCGAUUGCGAAGGCAGCUUACCAAACUAUAUCUGACGUUGAGGCACGAAAGCGUGGGGAGCAAACAGGAUUAGAUACCCUGGUAGUCCACGCAGUAAACGAUGAUAACUCGUUGUCGGCGAUACACAGUCGGUGACUAAGCGAAAGCGAUAAGUUAUCCACCUGGGGAGUACGUUCGCAAGAAUGAAACUCAAAGGAAUUGACGGGGGCCCGCACAAGCGGAGGAACAUGUGGUUUAAUUCGAUGAUACGCGAGGAACCUUACCCGGGCUUGAAAGUUAGCGACGAUUCUUGAAAGAGGAUUUCCCUUCGGGGCGCGAAACUAGGUGCUGCAUGGUUGUCGUCAGCUCGUGCCGUGAGGUGUCGGGUUAAGUCCCAUAACGAGCGCAACCCCUACCGUUAGUUGCCAUCAGGUGAAGCUGGGCACUCUGGCGGGACUGCCGGUGUAAGCCGAGAGGAAGGUGGGGAUGACGUCAAAUCAGCACGGCCCUUACGUCCGGGGCUACACACGUGUUACAAUGGUAGGUACAGAGGGCAGCUACCCAGCGAUGGGAUGCGAAUCUCGAAAGCCUAUCUCAGUUCGGAUUGGAGGCUGAAACCCGCCUCCAUGAAGUUGGAUUCGCUAGUAAUCGCGCAUCAGCCAUGGCGCGGUGAAUACGUUCCCGGGCCUUGUACACACCGCCCGUCAAGCCAUGG